AGAGUUUGAUCAUGGCUCAGAUUGAACGCUGGCGGCAGGCCUAACACAUGCAAGUCGAACGGUAACAGGAAGCAGCUUGCUGCUUCGCUGACGAGUGGCGGACGGGUGAGUAAUGUCUGGGAAGCUGCCUGAUGGAGGGGGAUAACUACUGGAAACGGUAGCUAAUACCGCAUAAUGUCGCAAGACCAAAGAGGGGGACCUUCGGGCCUCUUGCCAUCGGAUGUGCCCAGAUGGGAUUAGCUUGUUGGUGGGGUAACGGCUCACCAAGGCGACGAUCCCUAGCUGGUCUGAGAGGAUGACCAGCCACACUGGAACUGAGACACGGUCCAGACUCCUACGGGAGGCAGCAGUGGGGAAUAUUGCACAAUGGGCGCAAGCCUGAUGCAGCCAUGCCGCGUGUAUGAAGAAGGCCUUCGGGUUGUAAAGUACUUUCAGCGGGGAGGAAGGGAGUAAAGUUAAUACCUUUGCUCAUUGACGUUACCCGCAGAAGAAGCACCGGCUAACUCCGUGCCAGCAGCCGCGGUAAUACGGAGGGUGCAAGCGUUAAUCGGAAUUACUGGGCGUAAAGCGCACGCAGGCGGUUUGUUAAGUCAGAUGUGAAAUCCCCGGGCUCAACCUGGGAACUGCAUCUGAUACUGGCAAGCUUGAGUCUCGUAGAGGGGGGUAGAAUUCCAGGCGUAGCGGUGAAAUGCGUAGAGAUCUGGAGGAAUACCGGUGGCGAAGGCGGCCCCCUGGACGAAGACUGACGCUCAGGUGCGAAAGCGUGGGGAGCAAACAGGAUUAGAUACCCUGGUAGUCCACGCCGUAAACGAUGUCGACUUGGAGGUUGUGCCCUUGAGGCGUGGCUUCCGGAGCUAACGCGUUAAGUCGACCGCCUGGGGAGUACGGCCGCAAGGUUAAAACUCAAAUGAAUUGACGGGGGCCCGCACAAGCGGUGGAGCAUGUGGUUUAAUUCGAUGCAACGCGAAGAACCUUACCUGGUCUUGACAUCCACGGAAGUUUUCAGAGAUGAGAAUGUGCCUUCGGGAACCGUGAGACAGGUGCUGCAUGGCUGUCGUCAGCUCGUGUUGUGAAAUGUUGGGUUAAGUCCCGCAACGAGCGCAACCCUUAUCCUUUGUUGCCAGCGGUCCGGCCGGGAACUCAAAGGAGACUGCCAGUGAUAAACUGGAGGAAGGUGGGGAUGACGUCAAGUCAUCAUGGCCCUUACGACCAGGGCUACACACGUGCUACAAUGGCGCAUACAAAGAGAAGCGACCUCGCGAGAGCAAGCGGACCUCAUAAAGUGCGUCGUAGUCCGGAUUGGAGUCUGCAACUCGACUCCAUGAAGUCGGAAUCGCUAGUAAUCGUGGAUCAGAAUGCCACGGUGAAUACGUUCCCGGGCCUUGUACACACCGCCCGUCACACCAUGGGAGUGGGUUGCAAAAGAAGUAGGUAGCUUAACCUUCGGGAGGGCGCUUACCACUUUGUGAUUCAUGACUGGGGUGAAGUCGCAACAAGGUA
rnacentral:rRNA from 1 species